UUGCAUCGUUUUUUGUCUGGCUGUUUUACAUCUACUUACGGUCAGCUUCUGUGCCUAUGUAGUUUUGUGUCUAUUCCACGUCAUUUAACAUUUCUUUGUGACCAUUUUGUGUUUCAGUGUGGCAAUUAAGCGUUUCAUUGUGAUCGUUUUGCGACUCUCUUUUUUUUUUUUUUUUUUGCCUUUGUAGCUUUGUGGUAGUAAUCUCUCCAUCGCCAUCCAUUGAUCCCUGUUGUGUAUAUUAAUGAUUAGAAAUUUGUUUGCGUGACUUGAGACUUUACUAAGCUCAGUUUUGAGUUAAAUACAAGAUUGAAAACCAGAUUUUAAUUUUGUGCUCCUUCGCAAGUUUUGAGCCACAAGAGUAGGUCACAAUGUAUGAGCUGAAAUAUUAAAAACUAUUUGAAAAGUUGCUUUUCUCUCCGAGAUGAAUGAAUUCAUAACAUAAUUUAUUCACCUCAAAUCUUAAACUGUGAUUUCAAGGUUCUAGUAUUUCAUAUCCUAUUUUUUGUAAUUAGGUUAUUUGUUUUUCAAGUGUUUUACUUGUGUUCCCCAGGUUUACUCGUUCAGCUGCUGCAACCUGGACAGAAACACCAGCUCUCACCUCACAAACCAAACAGGAUUCAAACUUCAACCAUUAAAUCACAUAGAAGAGACAGACGUGAAGACAUUUCCAGAAGGUCUUCGGCUGCUGUCGUCUUCUCCUUCUGCAGAGACAAGAAACAAGAACUGAUCAGUAAAACUAAAUACUUUCACGACAUACUAUUCUCUGACAUUUUUUGGUGUUUUUGACAACUUACUAUACUAUGACAUUUCACUUAAGACAAAGGAACUCUCUCUUAAGUGGCCAUCAUACCUUUGUUUUCCACAGAAACACCUCUACAUAGUGUUUGUGGGUUAGAUUAGAUUUUCAUUUUAGUAUUUUGCCAGAGUGCAAUAUCAGUACUCAAAUCCACUCUAUUACUGUGUACAUAGUCCUGUUUAUACUGUUCAUAUUAUAUGUUUUAUCUUGUCUUUUUCUAUUUUUGCUGUUGCACCACCGAAUUUCUCCGUUGUGGAACUGAUAAAGGAUCUUACUCAAAUAAAUACUUCUGAACACUGAA